rnacentral:rRNA from 1 species
AGAAUCAACGCUGGCGGCGCGCUUAACACAUGCAAGUCGAACGAGAAAGGGGAGCAAUCCCUGAGUAAAGUGGCGUACGGGUGAGUAGCACGUGGAUAAUCUACCUCUGGGUGGGGGAUAACUCUGGGAAACCGGAGCUAAUACCGCAUAAGCCUGAAAAGGGAAAGGGCAAUUCGCCGAGAGAGGAGUCCGCGGCCGAUUAGCUAGUUGGUGGGGUAAAGGCCUACCAAGGCGACGAUCGGUAG